rnacentral:rRNA from 1 species
AGAAUCAACGCUGGCGGCGUGCCUAACACAUGCAAGUCGAACGAGAAAGUGGAGCAAUCCAUGAGUAAAGUGGCGACCGGGUGAGUAACACGUGACUAACCUACCUUCGAGUGGGGGAUAACCUCGGGAAACCGAGGCUAAUACCGCAUAACAUCGUGAGAUCAAAGCAGUAGUGCGCUGGAAGAGGGGGUCGCGGCUGAUUAGCUAGUUGGCGGGUAAUGGCCCACAAGGCGAAGAUCGGUA